UACGUAGGGGGCAAGCGUUGUCCGGAAUUAUUGGGCGUAAAGAGCGUGUAGGCGGUCCGGUAAGUCAGCUGUGAAAGUCAAGGGCUCAACCCUUGAAAGCCGGUUGAUACUGUCGGGCUAGAGUGCGGUAGAGGGUGGUGGAAUUCCCGGUGUAGCAGUGAAAUGCGUAGAGAUCGGGAGGAACAUCAGUUGCGAAGGCGGCCACCUGGACCAGCACUGACACUGAGGCACGAAAGCGUGGGGAGCAAACAGG
rnacentral:rRNA from 1 species